rnacentral:snRNA from 1 species
UUUCUUUCAUAGCACACAUAUUAAAAUUGGAGCUAUACAGAAAAGUUUAGCAUGGCCUCUGCACGAGGAUGACACACAAAUUCAUGGUAUUCCAUAUUUUU